rnacentral:rRNA from 1 species
GACGAACGCUGGCGGCGUGCCUAAUACAUGCAAGUUGAGCGCUGAAGGUUGGUACUUGUACCAACUGGAUGAGCAGCGAACGGGUGAGUAACGCGUGGGGAAUCUGCCUUUGAGCGGGGGACAACAUUUGGAAACGAAUGCUAAUACCGCAUAAAAACUUUAAACACAAGUUUUAAGUUUGAAAGAUGCAAUUGCAUCACUCAAAGAUGAUCCCGCGUUGUAUUAGCUAGUUGGUGAGGUAAAGGCUCACCAAGGCGAUGAUACAUAGCCGACCUGAGAGGGUGAUCGGCCACAUUGGGACGGAGACAAGGCCAAAACUCCUGCGGGAGGCAGCAGUAGGGAAUCUUCGGCAAUGGCCGAAAGUCUGACCGAGCAACGCCGCGGGAGUGAAGAAGGUUUUCGGAUCGUAAAACUCUGUUGGUAGAGGAGAACGUUGGUGAGAGUGGAAAGCUCGUCAAGUGACGGUAACUACCCAGAAAGGGACGGCUAACUACGUG